rnacentral:rRNA from 1 species
CGACCGGCGCACGGGUGCGUAACGCGUAUGCAACCUACCUUUUACAGGGGCAUAACAUCGAGAAAUUGGUACUAAUACCCCAUAACAUCACCGGAGGCAUCUUCGGUGGUUGAAAACUCAGGUGGUCAGAGAUGGACAUGCGUUGUAUUAGCUAGUUGGUGAGGUAACGGCUCACCAAGGCGACGAUACAUAGGGGGACUGAGAGGUCAACCCCCCACAUUGGUACUGAGACACGGACCAAACUCCUACGGAAGGCAGCAG